UGUGUGAUCGUUCGUCAGCAUGUUUUUUGUGAGCUUGAGUAAUAACAGAAUAGGUAAACGGUAACAAAUACAUACUGGAUACGCUCUCACACAAAUAUAUUUACACAUCCAUGCAGCCGGAGCCGAGGGUAGCAGCGUGUCGGGACAUGAACGUGUGGCUGAGCUGGUUCAUACUAAAAACAUGACUUCACACAGGCCGAGUGUAACCAUGAUGUCUGAGGAGACGUGGAGGAGAGCGCAGUGACUGAUGCGGGUCCGCUCUAUGUAGUGCUGUCAGGAGGGACGACCCGUUGGCGGGCGGUCUUGGGACGGUGGCGGGGUGUCGAGGGCGAGCUGCGUUCACUCUCGGACUCGGAGGGCUCGGUUUCUGCCUGCGGGGAACCGGUGUCACCCACCAACUCCCGCAGGAACUUAAACUUGGACAGGAAGAGCUGCCACACCACGUACCACCC